rnacentral:rRNA from 1 species
CUAACGCGUUAAAUCGACCGCCUGGGGAGUACGGCCGCAAGGUUAAAACUCAAAUGAAUUGACGGGGGCCCGCACAAGCGGUGGAGCAUGUGGUUUAAUUCGAUGCAACGCGAAGAACCUUACCUACUCUUGACAUCCAGAGAACUUACCAGAGAUGCAUUGGUGCCUUCGGGAACUCUGAGACAGGUGCUGCAUGGCUGUCGUCAGCUCGUGUUGUGAAAUGUUGGGUUAAGUCCCGCAACGAGCGCAACCCUUAUCCUUUGUUGCCAGCGGUUCGGCCGGGAACUCAAAGGAGACUGCCAGUGAUAAACUGGAGGAAGGUGGGGAUGACGUCAAGUCAUCAUGGCCCUUACGAGUAGGGCUACACACGUGCUACAAUGGCAUAUACAAAGAGAAGCGACCUCGCGAGAGCAAGCGGACCUCAUAAAGUAUGUCGUAGUCCGGAUUGGAGUCUGCAACUCGACUCCAUGAAGUCGGAAUCGCUAGUAAUCGUAGAUCAGAAUGCUACGGUGAAUACGUUCCCGGGCCUUGUACACACCGCCCGUCACACCAUGGGAGUGGGUUGCAAAAGAAGUAGGUAGCUUAACCUUCGGGAGGGCGCUUACCACUUUGUGAUUCAUGACUGGGGUGAAGU